CAGUGGGGAAUAUUGGACAAUGGGGGAAACCCUGAUCCAGCGACGCCGCGUGAGUGAAGAAGUAUUUCGGUAUGUAAAGCUCUAUCAGCAGGGAAGAAAAUGACGGUACCUGACUAAGAAGCCCCGGCUAACUACGUGCCAGCAGCCGCGGUAAUACGUAGGGGGCAAGCGUUAUCCGGAUUUACUGGGUGUAAAGGGAGCGUAGACGGCAUUGCAAGUCUGAUGUGAAAGAUUGGGGCUCAACCCCAGGCCUGCAUUGGAAACUGUAAAGCUGGAGUACAGGAGAGGUAAGCGGAAUUCCUAGUGUAGCGGUGAAAUGCGUAGAUAUUAGGAGGAACACCAGUGGCGAAGGCGGCUUACUGGACUGUAACUGACGUUGAGGCUCGAAAGCGUGGGGAGCAAACAGGAUUAGAUACCCUGGUAGUCCACGCCGUAAACGAUGAUUACUAGGUGU
rnacentral:rRNA from 1 species